rnacentral:lncRNA from 1 species
UUUAUUUUUUCCUGUUCCUGUCCCCAUUUAGUUCUAUCUAUUCCAGGUGUCCCCGUUAUGAUCAUUUGUUCCCAGAAGUGUCCCAUUAGUUCCCCUGUUCUUAAGCUUUGUGUUUCCUUGUCUCCAGUGUCAGGUAUUAAACAUUGAUGUUGUGCUACAUGAUGUAUCUCCCCUUCUGAAGUUCAUAAAAAUCUCCUUGUUGAUGUACUCCACGUCUCCUCACUCCUCGCUCUGUGUUCCUCCUGUAGACAACUGUGACACAUGGCAGUUCAUUGUUCCAUGGUGGAACUGAUUAAAGAAAUUAAAUGCGAGUGUACUCGUCAGGCAGUGGGGAGUUAAAGAGAGGAUGAAUAUGAGUUGGAAAAGUUAAAGAAACAAUAUGCAGACCUCCAACUUAGUUUCCAGACCUUUACAAAAGCAUUAGAGUGUGAAAUUAUGAGGCUGAGUGACCAAGUACGACACAAAGAGAACAGAACAGACCCAGUUAUAUUUAUGGAUGCUCAGCCGUCACUAUCCCGAGUGACAGAAGUGACUAUCAAACUAUAGGGACUAUAGGGAGAGAGGUCAGAAAGGACAUCUGUCUUACACAAAUUUGAUGCAUCAGAUUGAAAGUGGAGUGCAGAAGGGCCAUACGGAGACAAAAUUGUAGAUGCUGUUGUGAGAGCCAUCAGUCCAGGUCUUAGCCUCCGGGACAUGCUAGAAAUUAAAAGUCAUUUGACUCUUCCCCAACUGAAAACCAUCCUUAAAGGCCAUUUCAAAGAAGAUAGCUCAACAGAUUUGUAUCACUAGCUGGUGAACAUCACACAGGUGUCAGGGUUUUGCACUGACACUCUGUUUGUUUUGUGUUUUGUUACUUGUGUCUAUCUCUUGUGUCAGCACAUGGCCUUGCUAAUUGUUUUCUCGGCCAUGUGCUCCUUUAUCCCCUCCUCCUUGUUUCCUUUUUUACCACACCCUCUUUUUACCCUUGUUGGUCUAAUUGUGCUCACCUGUUCCUCAUGUGUUUUCCUCCCUAUUUAUAGUGCCCCUUGCCCUUUUGUGUUUGCUGGUUUGUGGUCAUUCUCACCCCUUCUGUCACCAUCUUUGUCUCUGUCUGUGGAUGUGGCUGAGUAUGUGUCCGUGUCUCCCUGCCUGAGUUCCUGACCUGUUCCUGUGUGUCCUGCCACUGGUUCUCCCUGCCUGACAUUUGGUCUGCUUCAGAGUCGGUGGUCAACAAGUAUCUUAGCUCUGCUCUAUGGUGCCUUAUGUGGUCUUUUCCAUCAGCCUGGUCUUGCCGCCCCCUCUGCUGCCGUAGUAUUCUGCCAGUUGAUGUCUGAAGCUGUUCCAGGGGCCUUCCCUAGCUGUUUCUGUUUACUGUGUUCCUGUUGUGGUAUCACUUGUGCACUUCACUUCCCUCUUGUAUCAGUCUGUUUUGUCAAUAAACCCUUGUUACUCACACUUCAAUUGGGUCCUCCUUCCAGACCCCCUGACAUUACGAACCAGCCAAAGUCAGGACCCAACAGAUGAGCUUUACUACUCCAUUUUUUUCUUUUAUUUAGUGAAUUUAGCUGACAAGCUAUGCAAUAUCGCGUUCAUUAUCACAGAUGAAUCGCCUUCGAUAAUGAAUGCGAUAUUGCGUAGCUUGUCAGUGAUCUACGGCUCUGUCUAUUAAAUUACGCUCCAUUUGAAAGCAGGUGAUAGCGAUUUAGCGGUAAUCAGGGAACCGGCUUUACUGACGAAAUGCGCGUGACAAUCACAUGCGAUUUAUUGCCCCGCCCUACCCCUGAGUUGACUGAGACUGCUGCAGGCAUCCCUGGGCCAGUCAAACCAGUUCCAGGCACCUUUGAUUUGACCAAAUUUGCUGCAGCUAUCCCUGAUCUAGUCAAGUUCGUACCAAAUUCUCCUGAACUGCGGCCAUUUCAGUCAAGUCAGUUUCAAACUCCGCUGAG